ACACAUAUAUAAGAAUAGAAAAUGAAAAAUAAAAAAAAAAAUUAGACAUUCAAGCUUAAGAUCGAAGCAAGCCUGAUCUCUUUAGAUCCUGGACUAAAUGAGGUAUCUGCAAUACUUGUUGAUUUUGCAUGUUCGGGCUUGGUGAAUUUGCUCUGAAUUGCUGUUGAAUGCGUGGUUGUAGAAUUGCUUUCUUGCUGAUUAUUGCUACCGACUUGAGUUUAUUGAUGGGGAUUUUGGGUUUACCUAUUUUAGCUUUGAAUUGCUUUUCUCAAUUCUUCACCGAUUGCUUGUCUGCUUGUUUUUUCUUCGGUGAUUGCUUCUUUGCUUCUGUCUACUAAUUGACUUUGGAAAUUGAGCUUGUAAUUGCUUGAUGCUUUUGGAAACUGCUUGUGUCUGCGAGUUGCUUGAUGCUUGAUUCAUUCUCCCAUGAUAAUAGCUUCUAUGUUCUUGCUUUUGUCCUCCUCCGAUCGUAGAUUCAACAUUCAAGGUCGUUAUAUAAGGAUUGAAAUAUCUAUUCAACUUGGACAAGCAUUAACCUCACUGAAUCUACAAAGAUUUCUAGGAUUUUAUUUUUAUGCAAUCUUUUGUUUUUCAAUGGAUUAGCUUUCAAGUAUUUCCAUAAGUAAUGAAUCUUUAAAUUCUAAAAUCUAAAAUCAAAUCUAAGACUAAAUCUACUAAUUUCCUUUUGCACAAUAAUCCCACGUUUCUUCUUUGUUUCUAACCCUUUUUUUUACCUUGACUUUGAUAAAAGUAAAGUUAAAUAAAUAAAAAAUUAAAAUUUUUGGGCUUUCACUCUAUGGGUCUAAAAUUAACUUUUUGUAUUAAAACCCAAUUAUCCAAUUUAAAGCACAUUUUGAAUCCAAAAAAUUUCUUACACAAAAUGGAAUGUCUACAUUAAUAUAAAAAUGUAUUCUCCUAAAAUCAAUUUAGCUUACAGGGCAUAUAACAACAAACACUACAUCAACAAAUCAAUGGCCAGAUUAUCAUAACUAACAGAGACAAUAGACUCUAUUAACAAUUGGAUUGAAAAUUCAAAUCCUGAAAAGUAAGCUAUCUAACCAUCAAAAUCACAAUUAACAUGAAAAAAAACCCUAGCAUAAGAUUCUACAUGAUAUGCUUAUGAUGCAAUCUUAAAAACUAAAUCUACAUGAUAUGUUAAAAUUUUAAACAAAGAUGUCUUCGACCAUACCAAAGUCUAUAUGAUGAAUGGUUCAUGGACAUUAUGUCACAUGCUUGACAUAUAAGAAAAAGAUUGGAUCAUGCCAAUUUGAACCUAUUUGUAGGUUCAAAAUAACAAUCAAACCUUGGAGCUUGCAGGUUGGAUCGACUUGGUUGAGUUCUAAUUCUUCUUCGAGUUGCAAAUUCCCAAAUAUUCGACUUUGGACUAUGUUUGAGCAGUGUUAUUUAGAAUAGCGGAGGAGAUGCAUGUACAAAAGAGAGAAGUUGAUACCAAGGAAGAGAAGAAGAGGAAAUAAGAAAGCAUCUAUUUUGCACCGAAUUCCCUAUUUUUUAAAGCAUUAGUGAUUAGGGUAAAAAGGCAUAAUAAUUUUCUUUUCAUCAAUUUCUCUACUUACCAUUUCUUUUCUAUUAAUUAUUUUUAUUAUUAGAUCAACUAAUAAAAACUUAUACAAGAUUGCACCUUUUUCAAAUUCUCCUUUUUUUUUUCUUCCUUUAUCAAUAGCUGCGAACAUUUUUGUCAUUUUUGCACAUAUUUUUUUAGUAUAUUUUAUUUAAUCUUCUAAGCUAUCAUAUAUUACAGGAUGUCUUAUUUCAUACAAACUGCGUAUUUGAACAGCUACUAACAUUAUAUUAAUGGUUGAUAGAUCAUCCAACACUAUCAACUCACUUUGAUUUUUUUUAAUUUAUAC
rnacentral:lncRNA from 1 species